GGUUUUGGGUUGGAUCCAAACCGAUCCAAAUCUUAUCAAGUCUAUUUUGGACAAUCCAUUAUAGUUAUUGGGUUGGGCCAACCCAAAAUAAAAUCGCCCAUAUUAUUAUUGGUUUGAAUCGGCCCAAAACCAAAACCCAAUAGUUCAAUCGCCAUUCGCCAAACCCUACCUAUUUGAAUCAAAAAUUCAAAACCAAAAUCGAAACCAGACAAGAAACUUUCGGCAGUUGUCUGAAGUAACUCUUCUCCGGAAACCUGUUCGAGCGUUUGAAGCAUUCUCUCCAGCGGCUCUUCUCUCUGUGGAAAGCAUUCUCUCCGGUGGCUCUUCUCUUCAGCGGUUCGAGGAAACUCCAGCAGCUCUUCUCUGGAAAUCUUUAAGACUGGAACAGGAUUCUCUCUGUGGAAAGCAUUCUCUCCGGUCGUCGUCCAUCAAGUGGCUCUUCUCUUUGGCGGUUUGAAGCAAGGAUUUUCUCGCUCUUCUCUCUCAGGUGGAAAUAGGUUUGUGGAAAACCGGUGCAUCACCCACUGGCCGGCAAAUGGAUUCAUAACAUCGGAACAUUCCGUAAGAAUUCCUUUAUAUGGAAAAUACUACAUCAACUUCUUUCGGGUGGUUUGGAGAACGGUUAAUGUGGUUUCAGAUUUUUUAUUCUCUGGUUGCAGCUGUUCAUCCAUCCUCUUGAUGGUACUUGAUCAAAUGGCUAAGCUGGUGAAGUCCAAGUGUUGCACCAGGAAUGUGGUCCUCCUAAUAUGAACAAUUUCUUUAGGAAAUGAUAUUCUUUUGGUGUUUGAUUGCAGAUGGAGAUGGAAACUAUUUUGUUUAUUUUUUGGGGAAUUAGGGAAAUAAUUAAUUCCUUAUUGAGUAUUAUUUUCUGAGGAAAACAUUUUGUUUCCCUUCAUCAUUUUAGUUGUAACAAAAAAUGGAAUAGUGUAACUCAUUGUUUGCUGAUUUAGAAAGGAGAAUUUUCUUAGUGAAGUAA